GCCUGGGUAGCUCAGUCGGUUAAGCAUCUGACUUCAGCUCAGGUAAUGAUCUCACAAUCUUUGGGUUCGAGCCCCACAUCGGGCU
rnacentral:tRNA from 1 species